rnacentral:rRNA from 1 species
GACAGAGGAUGCAAGCGUUAAUCGGAAUUACUGGGCGUAAAGCGUGCGCAGGCGGUUUUGUAAGUCUGUCGUGAAAUCCCCGGGCUCAACCUGGGAAUUGCGAUGGAGACUGCAAGGCUAGAAUCUGGCAGAGGGGGGUAGAAUUCCACGUGUGAGCAGUGAAAUGCGUAGAGAUGUGGAGGACACCGAUGGCGAAGGCAGCCCCCUGGGUCGAAGAU